rnacentral:rRNA from 1 species
UGCCAGCAGCCGCGGUAAUACGGAGGGGGCGAGCGUUGUUCGGAAUCAUUGGGCGUAAAGGGCGCGUAGGCGGCCGAUCAAGUCGGAGGUGAAAUCCCUCGGCUCAACUGAGGAAUUGCCUUCGAUACUGUUCGGCUUGAGUCCUGGAGAGGGUAGCGGAAUUCCCGGUGUAGCGGUGAAAUGCGUAGAGACCGGGAAGAACACCAGUGGCAAAGGCGGCUACCUGGACAGGUACUGACGCUGAAGCGCGAAAGCUAGGGGAGCAAACAGGAUUAGAUACCCUGGUAGUCCUAGCUGUAAACGAUGGGCACUUGGUGUUGCGGGUAUCGACCCCUGCAGUGCCGAAGCUAACGCAUUAAGUGCCCCGCCUGGGGAGUACGGUCGCAAGGCUGAAANUCAAAGGAAUUGACGGGGGC